AUGAGACCUGAAGAGGGUGGGGCUGUGAGCUGCAGACCUGACCUCUCAGCGCUGGCUCUUUUAGCCUGGAGCUUAUGGCUGUUGCUCUGCCACUGAAACCACAAAUUAGGCAAAGCGCACCUCCUGGCUGCUACUUUUCUAAACUUCUCCCCUCCUCCCCUAACUCUUCUAUUCUUUCUGACCCCAAAAGAGUAGCAGUGUCUGUGAUUCUGACACCAUGGAGCACUGAGAUUCCAGGAUCCCUUUGAAAAGGCUGUCUCACACUCACAGUGUGGCCUCAAUUCUCCCCAACCCUUCCUACACCGAGCCCUCUACCCAACAGGACUCCACACCCUCCUUUCUUUCACCCAGACUCACCCUGUACCCUCAUCUCAGUCGACACAGGCCCAAGGGCCUUAUUCCAGGGAUGGCACAGAAGACUCUUCCUUUCAUCUGCCUUUGGCCUUUAAAGUCAAACAGUCCUAAAUUCAAAUCCUGGCUAACAACAUUCAUCUUUAAAGGGGGGAUAAAGUGGGACCUCCCUCAAGGACUAGAUGAGAAUUAAAUGUGAUUUUCCAGGCGAAGGCAGAGCCUGGCCAGAGCAAGAACACAGUGACUGUUUUGACUGUUCCUACAACACUGUCUUACUUGCUGCUAAAGGAUCAGUAAGAAUGAUGUGGUCAAGCUGGCAGAGAACUUCACAGCAGAAGUCCUGAGGAAGGUCAUGCUGGGAGGCCAAUGGAAGGAAUUCAUUUAGCAACAAAUAAAAUGUGGUGUCACGUG